CUCCUACGCCAAUCUGGAGGAUGUUUAUUGUCAAGAUACGGGGAAAUCAUUAAUGCCGAUACACUUGAGGGCCAGAGCGGCAUAUGGUACUUUUCGUGAACAAUAUAGGGGUGAUGAGAGGAAUCGGGAUAAGAUCACGACAAAUCUCGAGUUAGUGGAGGGAAUUGAGACCGCAUCCAAGGAGGCUGCAUCUGUCUACAUUUCGCAGGAGGAGGAACAAACCGAGCUAGACCCUCACAUGCUUUCUGCAGAGGAGAACAUCAAUCUCACACAGA